rnacentral:misc_RNA from 1 species
UUAACUUAUUUGUAUAAAUACUCAGAGAGGCCAGUAAAGAACAAGAGUUAUUUGUCGUCCGGCGGGCGCCUGUGAGGGCUGCGGCCCCGGGGGGGCCGCCCGCCGAAGCAACGGUUACAGGUAACGUUCACAAUGGUUUGGGAGUUUUGCAACUCUGUAAUGAUCCCUCCGCUGGUUCACCAACGGAGA